ensembl:lncRNA
AUCCUGUUAAGACUGGAGGGGGAACAAAUAGCCACAUGGUAAGAAAUGACGAAGCUGGGGGAGAUGACUCAGGAACUCCAGCAAUUUGCUAGCUGUAGUAGAAGCCUGACCAAUCUGUGGUAGGAGUUAGGCACCUGAGAGUGCCCUCAGCUGCUCCCAAGGGCCAGCAGUGGCAGUAGCACACAGAUGUGAUGAAAAGCCCACCUCUGCUCUUUGCUGCUUGGGUAGUGAGCCCUGCAUGGAGAGGGUUCCUGCCAGCCAUGGGCCGACCCCGUCUGGCACAGCAGGUACAGCCCGGGGCCUCCAGCAGCUGGAGAUCGGGCACGGGGGAGGGUCUGUUUUUACUUUUCAAGGCUUCAAUCAGAGAUUGAGCCCAGAAUUUCAUAGCGACAAUCCAAAAGCUUUCCAGGGAAAAAGCACUGCUCAGAUGAUUUCUUCACCUGCUGGGAUUUGGAGCCAGACUCUUUUGCUAUUGCCUCGGUUCUCUGUUGGCUGGGUUCUCUUUCUUAUCAGGAGUCAUCCUAGUUUCUCUCUGAAUGUUUCUGACCUGUCCUUGCCAGGCCAGUUUUAUUUCAUGGAGUCUGUCUUCGUAUAUCCAGACAUCUGGACUUUUCAGUCCUACACAAUAAUCUUUGCCAAAGAGUGUGCGGUCAGGACUUCUCACAGUUCAGGAACUGCCUUAUAAUUUCUGGUGACAUGGCAGGAUGGAGAACAACCGAGUCCUGUAAGCCAGAUGAGUAAUAGAAUAUGUGGUCCUGGACAGGGGGGAGGGAAGAACACUGGAGGCCUUUAGAAAUGCCCUCCUCCAGGACCGAGGUGGCACCUCCAUUUUCCCCCUCCAUAGCAAUCCGUGUGCACCCUAAGAAAGGCAACAAAUCCAAGGGUUGUUUUGGGGUCCAGUGAUGCAGAAAGGAGACAGUGGAGAAAAAAAGAGUUUUACUCAAACUCGAGGCUGAGAGGUUUCAAGCCAUCACAAACAUAAGGAAAGACAUGAGCCUUUAAUGGGGUGGGUACAAAGAUAAUGUUGUUGGAAAGCUGGAGGAGAUUUCCGCUCUGUAGCUCGUGUGCAAGCUGCUGUCCACCUUCUCUUCAUGAAGGGAGAGCAGUGGAGAGGAAAAAGCGUGAGUGCUAUUCCAAAAUGGAGCUGCAUCUGGCUUUUGCUGCAGUGGUGCAGGAGGCAAUUCUGAAUGGAGCUCUGUUUGUUUGCUGCUUGAGACAGGGUUGUCGUUUGUUGGGUCUUGUGUUUUUUGUCAGAGAAUGUAAGCUGAGCAUGAGGGAAACUCCAGGCAGCCUGAGGGGGCUGGGCUGGAGGAGAAUGUUUUGCACCUUUCCCAUGCGUAACAGCCUAACACAGGCAUGUGGAGGAGGAGGAGGAAAAGGAGAAAUAGAAGUGAAGUCUCUCUCAGGAUAUAAAUGGCCAACACAACCCUAACGCUUCAUAUUCUGAUACUGUAUAGUGCUGUCACUCAGGGACCUUUAGGAACUAGGACCUUGGGACUGUAAUCCUACCUGUUCCCCUCCUAUCCCCCCUUCACCUUCAGUAUUGAAAACUGAAGAGAGAAAGAGCAGAAGAGGAAAAUAAGAGCCCUGGUAGCAAACCCCCUGCUAUUCCAUGGGUGAAAGUAAAGCUUUGGUUACUAAGAUAAAAGGAAAAUGUAUACCUUUAUAUUCGUGUCUUCAAGCAUAAACCAGCCCAUAGUGUAUAUAGGAUAAGUUCACAGUGCAUGAAACAAACAGGACUAUAGGUCUUAACUGGCAUCCAGCUUUCUUGCAUGCACAUCUGACACCAUGCCAGCAGCUUAUGUCUUGCAAAUAAGUAGGGAACCUGCCAAGGCUUGGCGCUUCCUCUGUCCAAUGGACAGCACAUCCACUUCCCAGAAACAGAGCCGUGUGAGGGCCUGAUUGGGCCGGUCUGUUUGACCAGAUCUGCUCCAGAGGCUCUGGCGUGAGGAGAUAAGGGGUGGGGGAGGGAGUUGGUUUUGUUUUCCUUUUUAUGGGGCGGGUGAAAGGGUUUUAAAUCUCUGAACUGUUAUCAAGCCGAAGUGAAACCUCUGGAGCUGUGCAGACCAAAGGACAGUAAUUAGUAAAAUCCUAGUGGAGAGGAUGGGAUGAGGUAGAACGAGCUAGAACUUCAGAGAUGAUUAGGAGAGAGCUAGUGGAAAUAUACGUGCACUAUAAUAGGUUUGAAAAGCCUAGAGCAUUGGAAAAUGGGGACCUGCAGUGAGCCAGAUGGGCUGGGUGCAGCUGCAGGCAGCACUCAAGGAAACCCAGCCAUGGCAGCAGUCCCUGGUGGGCAGAGACCACAGACUCUGGAAGAUGGUGAGGUUGGGAACUGGGAAAUAGAGGGAGACUCGUGGCGCUCUGCCUUCAGAAUGAGCUUAGUCCCUCUAGGCAGGGACAAUCAUUUGCAUCUGGACAAUGUUGCAGGAGCUAAGCUGGGAUAUGCAGAGGAGCUACCACUGUCCCAAGCCGGGGCAAUGGCUGGGCUCUGCCCUGAUGUCAGAGAUAAGAGAUAACCAGGCAAGAAAUGCUGUGCAGGUUACCAAACGCUUUAUUGGAAAUGAGACUGGGCUUACCAAGCAGGGUGGGAUGUCUUUGCAACCGUCAUGGAAACUGGGUUGGGGGCAUGGGUUGGGCAAGAGAUGUGAAACCUAUGUGUUGGACACAGUACCUAACGCAGAUGCUGGGAGGGAGGGAGGAAGGGUGGGAGAGAGGGAGGGAGGGGAGUGGAGACUGGGUACAAGAAGAUGUAUAUAGCGUUGGGGCUUGGUUUUUAUUCUUUUUCAUUUGGUUUUAUUUUGGUUGGUUGGUUGGUUGAUUUUGUUGAGGUUUUUUGUUGGUUUGUUUUUUUUUUUUAAUUUUUAAAUAAAUGUUUGAUUUCUAAUGUCUUGAUGUAAACCAAAUAAAAAUGGUUCUGUACAUUCAGAAGAACAGCUGAAAGGUGACAAGCGUAAUAAAGAAGCACUGUCCUCCAGGCUGAUACAACAAUACCAUUUCCCAGACUUUCCCACAGGGAUUGGAGGGUGAAUCUGUGCCUGUGCCUGCCCACCAAAAUGGUGACCUUAGGGCUGGCUCCCUGAUCCACCUCCAAGUCCAGUGAAGAGGUGGGCAGUAGAGGAGGAAGUCAUGUUGUAUAAGUAACUAUUCAGUGUUUGAUCCCACCAUCCGUGAGGUCAAUGAGAGGAGGCUGUGUAUUAGAUCCUGAUCCCUUGCACAUUUGGCCUCUUCCUGGAGAGCCAAACUGUACUAUGCCUUACUGUAUCUUGGGAUGUAGUAGUGAAGGGAUGAAAAUGAUAUCAGGUAUCACUUGCAUAAAUAUAGUAAUGCAUGUGGAGUAAAGGCUGUAUGAGCCUGAACAGUCUUGGAGAAGCUGCUGUUGCUGAUGCUGCUUUCUGCCUUGUGAUUUGGUCUAGGGUGACAAGUGUUAGGAAAUGCCCAGCUGCUGAGAAGAGUUAUCAAGGAAGCCUUCAAUGUUGACAGACUUCUCUUAAGAGCCUUUGCAUUUCAAUAGACCUUUGUCUGCAAGUUCCUGGCUGUUUGGGAAGAGAUGGAAAAGAUGGAUUUAGAAGACAGUGCAAAGCAGAGACCUUGAGUUAAGCUUAGCUAUCUGUUUUAGUGGCCACUGGACUUGCAGAGAAAAAUUCUUCAGCAGAAGAAGCACAGAAGGUCAGAGGUGCAAAUGAGCAGGCUCAAGUUUAUGGCAUUGACUGAUUCUGGACCAAGGGACAUUUGGUCUCCAUGCAGCUUCCAGUUAGCAGAAAUGAGUGAUAGGGGAAUGCCAUAGAUGAUAAUGGUAGUGGGUCUGAAACCUAUAGGUAACCAUCUGUAUUAUAACCAAUCUUUGUCUGGGCUGGGAAGAAUGCCAAGAGUGAAAAAUAAGGGAAUGAUGCACUUGGUUGGUCUUUCCUUUCUCAUCACCACCCUCUGGCUGUGCCCAGGGCUGUGAGGCCUGCGCUGCUGCAGCACCAAGCCUUGCCAAAAGGUGAAACUGUUUUCUGAAGAACAAAUGCCCACUCAUGAUGUGCUACCACAGGGAUGUUAAGCCAAGAGGUAUGAAAGCAAACAAGAUUAGACCUCUAAGUCCGGGGCAUCCUUCCCAGGAAAGGCUAGACCAUUUAUGCCAAUCUGUCAUCCUCUCAAACUGCACUCAUCCAUCUUCCCUUCAAAGAUGAAGAAGUGGCAACAUCUUCUCUAACUGGGGACGUCUUAUGUGGCCAGAAUUUCAAACAAAGUCCUAACUGAACAACAGUGACAACAGGGAGAUCAAUGGCAAUGUCAAUAUACAUUAUCAAAGGGACUGCUGUGAACCAUCUUGGCAUACUCUGAGUGGCCGCGUUGCAUCCUGUACAGCAUUACAAAAACAAACAGAAGAAAAAGAAAGAGAAAAAAAAAAAAGAACAAACCACCCAUUUUUAUGUUCUUUAAUUUGCAUUUUCUGCAUGAAAUAAGACCUUGAUCCUUGUCUUUUUUCACAAAAGCAGGUUCUGCUUUAACUAAUGUAAAAAAAAAAAAAAAAAAAAAAAGGAAAGAAAAUAAUGUUUCUAUAGCAAAGUGAUUUAGAUGUAGAAAUUUUUGUAAAAAAAAAAAAA